rnacentral:tRNA from 1 species
UUUCCGUCGACUUUAUAAAUCGUGAGGGUUCAAGUCCCUCUAUCCCCA